UGUAUAAAGUGGCGAACGGCUGAGUAACACGUGGGCAACCUGCCCUUUGCACUGGGAUAGCCUCGGGAAACCGAGGUUAAUACCGGAUACUCCAUAUUUGUCGCAUGGCGAAUAUGGGAAAGCUCCGGCGGCAAAGGGUGGGCCCGCGGCCUGUUAGCUAGUUGGUGGGGUAGUGGCCUACCAAGGCAAUGAUGGGUAGCCGGGUUGAGAGACCGACCGGCCAGAUUGGGACUGAGACACGGCCCAGACUCCUACGGGAGGCAGCAGUC
rnacentral:rRNA from 1 species